rnacentral:rRNA from 1 species
AUACGGAGGAUCCGAGCGUUAUCCGGAUUUAUUGGGUUUAAAGGGAGCGUAGGCGGGAUAUCAAGUCAGCUGUGAAAUGUAGAUGCUCAACAUCUGCACUGCAGUUGAAACUGGUGUUCUUGAGUGCGUAAGAGGUAGGCGGAAUUCGUCGUGUAGCGGUGAAAUGCAUAGAUAUGACGAAGAACUCCGAUUGCGAAGGCAGCUUACUAAGCUACAACUGACACUGAAGCACGAAAGCGUGGGGAUC